rnacentral:rRNA from 1 species
GGGAUAACUUCAGGAAACUGGGGCUAAUACCGGAUAGGAGCUCCUGCUGCAUGGUGGGGGUUGGAAAGUUUCGGCGGUUGGGGAUGGACUCGCGGCUUAUCAGCUUGUUGGUGGGGUAGUGGCUUACCAAGGCUUUGACGGGUAGCCGGCCUGAGAGGGUGACCGGCCACAUUGGGACUGAGAUACGGCCCAGAAUCCUACGGGAGGCAGCAGUGGGGAAUAUUGCACAAUGGGCGGAAGCCUGAUGCAGCAACGCCGCGUGCGGGAUGACGGCCUUCGGGUUGUAAACCGAUUUCGCCUGUGACGAAGCGUGAGUGACGGUAAUGGGUAAAGAAGCACCGGCUAACUACUGUGCCAGCAGCCGCGGUGAUACGUAGGGUGCGAGCGUUGUCCGGAUUUAUUGGGCGUAAAGGGCUCGUAAGUGGUUGAUCGCGUCGGAAGUGUAAUCUUGGGGCUUACCCUGAGCGUGCUUUCGAUACGGGUUGACUUGAGGAAGGUAGGGGAGAAUGGAAUUCCUGGUGGAUCGGUGGAAUGCGCAGAUAUCAGGAGGAACACCAGUGGCGAAGGCGGUUCUCUGGGCCUUUCCUGACGCUGAGGAGCGAAAGCGUGGGGAGCGAACAGGCUUAGAUACCCUGGUAGUCCACGCUGUAAACGGUGGGUACUAGGUGUGGGUCCAUUCCACGGGUUCCGUGCGUAGCUAACGCUUUAAGUAC